AAAGGUUUUGAGCUUGGAAUUCUUUAGGGGUAAAGGGUUUUGAGCUUGGAAUUUUGGAAUUCUUCGGGGGUGAAAGGUUUUGAGCUUGGAAUUCUUCAGGGGCAAAGGGUUUUGAGCUUGGAAUUCUUCAGGGGUUAAAGGUUUUGAGCUUGGAAUUCUUUAGGGGUAAAGGGUUUUGAGCUUGGAAUUUUGGAAUUCUUCGGGGGUGAAAGGUUUUGAGCUUGGAAUUCUUCAGGGGUAAAGGGUUUUGAGCUUGGAAUUUUGGAAUUCUUCAGGGGUAAAAGGUUUUGAGCUUGGAAUUCUUCAGGGGUAUAACUAUGAAAAACAUGUAUCCUCGACAGGGGGGUACGGAUAUUAAAUGGAAUAGCCCAAUAAACGUGGGUCUGUUUUCAGGCUAGGAUAAAGUUGUUUGUGAUGAAAACCGGAAGUGGAGAUCAGUCACUGAUCUCAUUCAUCGUCUGGAUGUAGGGAAUUGCGAACCUGCAACCUGCAAC